rnacentral:misc_RNA from 1 species
GUUGGUGCGAAUUUAUUGACCUAUUGCAAGUACUGAACUGAGUAAGAGUCAAAGAGGAAGCAUUGCGCUGACUUGAUUCAGUUUCAUUCAAAAUGGAGUCUUGCAACUGUAUUGAGCCACAAUGGCCAGCUGAGGAACUCUUGAUGAAGUACCAAUAUAUUUCAGAUUUCUUCAUUGCUCUUGCUUAUUUCUCCAUCCCUCUAGAGCUCAUUUAUUUUGUUAAGAAAUCAGCAGUUUUUCCUUAUAGAUGGGUGCUGGUGCAGUUUGGUGCUUUUAUAGUUUUAUGUGGGGCAACACAUCUUAUUAACUUAUGGACUUUUACCAUGCAUUCACGAACUGUGGCUAUUGUAAUGACCAUAGCAAAAGUUUUGACUGCUGUAGUUUCAUGCGCAACCGCCCUUAUGCUUGUACACAUAAUUCCUGAUCUUUUGAGUGUUAAAACUAGAGAACUAAUUUUGAAAAACAAGGCUGCAGAACUUGAUAGAGAGAUGGGCCUGAUCCGUACACAGGAAGAAACAGGCCGGCAUGUUAGGAUGCUGACUCAUGAGAUCAGGAGCACACUUGAUAGACAUACCAUACUAAAGACCACACUUGUUGAACUGGGAAGGACAUUGGCAUUGGAAGAGUGUGCCUUAUGGAUGCCCACCAGGUCUGGAUUAGAGCUUCAACUUUCCUACACU